rnacentral:rRNA from 1 species
UAGUCCACGCCGUAAACGAUGUUCACUCGCUGCAUGCAAUACACCGUAUGUGGCCAAGCGAAAGUAUUAAGUGAACCACCUGGGGAGUACGUCGGCAACGGUGAAACUCAAAGGAAUUGACGGGGGCCCGCACAAGCGGAGGAACAUGUGGUUUAAUUCGAUGAUACGCGAGGAACCUUACCUAGGCUUAAAUGUAGAUUGCAUGACGUGGAAACACGCUUCCCUUCGGGGCUAUCUACAAGGUGCUGCAUGGUUGUCGUCAGCUCGUGCCGUGAGGUGUCGGGUUAAGUCCCAUAACGAGCGCAACCCUUACCGUUAGUUGCCAUCAGGUCAUGCUGGGGACUCUAACGGGACUGCCACCGUAAGGUGAGAGGAAGGUGGGGAUGACGUCAAAUCAGCACGGCCCUUAUGUCUAGGGCUACACACGUGUUACAAUGGUCGGUACAAAGGGCAGCUACACAGUGAUGUGAUGCUAAUCUCUAAAGCCGGUCUCAGUUCGGAUCGGAGU